rnacentral:lncRNA from 1 species
GGGGCUGGGCUGGCCAGGGCUGCGGCUACACGGGGAGGAAAGCGCGGAGCUGCUUCUGUGUGGAGGAGGUGGGAAGUGGAGAAGAGGGGGGGUCCUGUCUCAGCAGGGGCUCUCAGAGAGGCUGUGAUGGGGGCACGGGGCAGGCACGAAGGGCAACGUUGGCUCUGCGAGACGAGAAACUGGAGCUGCAGGAGGUCGAGGCUCCGCGAGCUGCAGCAUCGAACCCGCUCCCUCCUGCGGCAGCGGCUGGAGACCCUGGAGCGGCUCCGUGUGCUGCUGCGGGAGGAGAAGGCGGCCGCGCCUCGGCAGCUCCAGGAGGCUAUGGAGAAGGAGCGGGACUGGAGGCAGCAGCGGGCCCGGCGGCAGAAGCGGGAGCAUCUUCACCGGGAGAAGGCGGCAGCGGUGGGAGGCCUGGAGGAGCCGCUGGCCCAAAGAUGGAGCCAACGUCUGCGCCUCCGCUCCGCCGCGUCCCAGUCCCCAAGCACCGCGCCCGGCCUCCAGCAGCACGGCCCUGGGUCCCUGGGUCUCCUGCACCAUGUCCAGCGCUGCCUGCAGGAGCUGCAGGUGGAUAAGACACACCGCACAGGCAACCUGGAGAACCCCAAAGUCCUGGGAAGAGAGCUGGGCGCCGCAGCAAGCGAGGAGGAAUGGGGACAGCCUGGGACAGGGGACUCGCCCUCCACCGCAGCCUCACCCAAACAAGAGCAGAGGUUCCUGGUACCAGACACCUCACGCCCCAGCAGGAGCAGCAGGAGGAAACACGACUGCAGGAGGAGUCGUCUGCUGUGACAGGGACUUGGACUGGGGCACAGAGGUGCUGAGACAUCCCUGGCUGCUCCAUCUCCCUGUACGUGCCCAGAAGAACCAGCCAUAAAGCUGCUGGACCCUCCCUUUGCAGGACGUUUCCCACAGACCUUUCCAAAUGGAAACUUCCCUUCGGGUCCUCCUGGUUGUGCUCCUUUCCAGAGCUGGUGGCUGAGGGACAUUUGUCUUGGGUGCGAUCGGAACGGGUCUGGGUCUCCACCAGGCCAUUGCCCAGGUCCAGCCAGGCCAACAUUGGAGCCCUACCAGCAUCUUUACUUUCUUUGCAUUCCCUAAGGAACUUGGGGUGGUGACGUCCCUACCACAGGGGUGGCGGUGGAGUGGGGCUGGGGAGGAUGCUCUGGGGUUGGGAAGAGAUGUGGGGAAGGAAAAGAGGGUGCAAGGGCUGGAAGAAGGCUUGUGCCUUUCCAGCGCAAGGUGGAGGCUGAGGCCACGCACACUUUGCAAGCAGGAUGUGGGCUCCGAGUUGGUGAAUCCUGCACCCAGAAGCCAAAGCAUUUCAGGUGGAAAAAAAAGUCUUCAGCUGGCAAGUGCCUGGCUGGCAGGAGGCAGGGCUGGCAGGCAGGAGGAAGGGGGCUCAGGAGGUGUCUCAUGCACUGGGUGCCCCAGGGGAGCUCAAGGGUCUGGCAGCAGGUCCCUGGGCUGGGCUGGUUUGGUGCCUCCAUGGGACUGAGCUUCCUGCAGAGCCUGGUCCUGGGUGUGAGAGAGGAGAAAUCUGGCUCCGGCUCCCUCCAGCUGCCCCAGGCAGCUCGGCCCCUGCUCCUGGAGCUCCAGGUGUUCCCAGGCAAGCAGGACACGGCCACACAGCCAAGCCGGGGGCACCACACCAGCCCCGGGAUGGUUGCAGGAAGGAACACUUAAUGGAAAAAAAAAAAAAAAAGGAAAAU